AGCACGUAUCCAACCUGCCGUCUACUCUUGGACAGCCUUCUGAAAGGAAGAUUAAUACAAGAUGGCAUCAUGAGUCCGCAUGUUCACAUGAUUAAAGGUAUUCCGGUAGACGAUGGGGAUGCGUUCCAUUAGAUAGUAGGCGGGGUAACGGCCCACCUAGUCUUCGAUGGAUAGGGGUUCUGAGAGGAAGGUCCCCCACAUUGGAACUGAGACACGGUCCAA
rnacentral:rRNA from 1 species